rnacentral:rRNA from 1 species
UACAGGGGGUGCAAACGUUGCUCGGAAUCAUUGGGCGUAAAGCGCACGUAGGCGGUCUGUUAUGUCGGAUGUGAAAGCCCUCGGCUCAACUGAGGAAGUGCAUCCGAAACUGGCAGGCUAGAGUACUAAAGAGGGUCGCGGAAUUCCCGGUGUAGAGGUGAAAUUCGUAGAUAUCGGGAGGAACACCAGUGGCGAAGGCGGCGACCUGGGCCAAUACUGACGCUGAGGUGCGAAAGCGUGGGGAGCAAACAGG